AUGUUCUGAGCCUUUGUCUUGCAGGAGUGCAACCACGACACUAACCGAAGUCUACCGCGACAGCCACGCGGGACUGCAGUUGUGGAAGAUCUACAGCAAUGCUGUUCAAAGAACAGUACGAAGGAAAGAAGAAGUGCGUCAAACUAAAUGAAGCCUCGGAAUUUCUCAAGGAGGUCGGGUCGAAACCUAUAAGAGCACUCUGGUCCAGCCCAGCGGAGGCAGCCCUACAUCCUGGCAGUUGGCAUCACAAGAAAAAACAUCCAUGAUUACUACAUUGCGAUGGAUGGUGAGCUCCUUCCCUGCAAGGCCAGGUCUUCCCUAUCAGCCUUUGAUGAACUCUUCAAGACACAUUAUGUUUA